rnacentral:rRNA from 1 species
AGAGUUUGAUCCUGGCUCAGGACGAACGCUGGCGGCGCGCCUAACACAUGCAAGUCGAACGAGCGAGAGAGAGCUUGCUUUCUUGAGCGAGUGGCGAACGGGUGAGUAACGCGUGAGGAACCUGCCUCAAAGAGGGGGACAACAGUUGGAAACGACUGCUAAUACCGCAUAAGCCCACGGCUCGGCAUCGAGCAGAGGGAAAAGGAGCAAUCCGCUUUGAGAUGGCCUCGCGUCCGAUUAGCUAGUUGGUGAGGUAACGGCCCACCAAGGCGACGAUCGGUAGCCGGACUGAGAGGUUGAACGGCCACAUUGGGACUGAGACACGGCCCAGACUCCUACGGGAGGCAGCAGUGGGGAAUAUUGCACAAUGGGGGAAACCCUGAUGCAGCGACGCCGCGUGGAGGAAGAAGGUCUUCGGAUUGUAAACUCCUGUUGUUGAGGAAGAUAAUGACGGUACUCAACAAGGAAGUGACGGCUAACUACGUGCCAGCAGCCGCGGUAAAACGUAGGUCACAAGCGUUGUCCGGAAUUACUGGGUGUAAAGGGAGCGCAGGCGGGAAGACAAGUUGGAAGUGAAAUCCAUGGGCUCAACCCAUGAACUGCUUUCAAAACUGUUUUUCUUGAGUAGUGCAGAGGUAGGCGGAAUUCCCGGUGUAGCGGUGGAAUGCGUAGGUAUCGGGAGGAACACCAGUGGCGAAGGCGGCCUACUGGGCACCAACUGACGCUGAGGCUCGAAAGUGUGGGUAGCAAACAGGAUUAGAUACCCUGGUAGUCCACACUGUAAACGAUGAUUACUAGGUGUUGGAGGAUUGACCCCUUCAGUGCCGCAGUUAACACAAUAAGUAAUCCACCUGGGGAGUACGACCGCAAGGUUGAAACUCAAAGGAAUUGACGGGGGCCCGCACAAGCAGUGGAGUAUGUGGUUUAAUUCGACGCAACGCGAAGAACCUUACCAAGUCUUGACAUCCUGCGACGCACAUAGAAAUAUGUGUUUCCUUCGGGACGCAGAGACAGGUGGUGCAUGGUUGUCGUCAGCUCGUGUCGUGAGAUGUUGGGUUAAGUCCCGCAACGAGCGCAACCCUUAUGGUCAGUUACUACGCAAGAGGACUCUGGCCAGACUGCCGUUGACAAAACGGAGGAAGGUGGGGAUGACGUCAAAUCAUCAUGCCCUUUAUGACUUGGGCUACACACGUACUACAAUGGCGUUAAACAAAGAGAAGCAAGACCGCGAGGUGGAGCAAAACUCAGAAACAACGUCCCAGUUCGGACUGCAGGCUGCAACUCGCCUGCACGAAGU